AUUGAACGCUGGCGGAAUGCUUUACACAUGCAAGUCGAACGGCAGCACGGACUUCGGUCUGGUGGCGAGUGGCGAACGGGUGAGUAACAUAUCGGAACGUAUCCAAUAAUGGGGGAUAACGAGUCGAAAGAUUCGCUAAUACCGCAUACGCCCUACGGGGGAAAGCUGGGGACCUUCGGGCCUGGCGUUAAUGGAGCGGCCGAUAUCUGAUUAGCUAGUUGGUGAGGUAAAGGCUCACCAAGGCGACGAUCAGUAGCUGGUCUGAGAGGACGACCAGCCACACUGGAACUGAGACACGGUCCAGACUCCUACGGGAGGCAGCAGUGGGGAAUUUUGGACAAGGGGCGCAAGCCUGAUCCAGCCAUUCCGCGUGAGUGAAGAAGGCCUUCGGGUUGUAAAGCUCUUUCGCGAGGGAAGAAAACUUAGCCACUAACAUUGGUUGAGGUUGACGGUACCUUGAUAAGAAGCACCGGCUAACUACGUGCCAGCAGCCGCAGUAA
rnacentral:rRNA from 1 species